rnacentral:rRNA from 1 species
UUUAUGGAGAGUUUGAUCCUGGCUCAGGAUGAACGCUGGCGGCGUGCCUAAUACAUGCAAGUCGAGCGAACGGACGAGAAGCUUGCUUCUCUGAUGUUAGCGGCGGACGGGUGAGUAACACGUGGAUAACCUACCUAUAAGACUGGGAUAACUUCGGGAAACCGGAGCUAAUACCGGAUGAUAUUUUGAACCGCAUGGUUCAAAAGUGAAAGACGGUCUUGCUGUCACUUAUAGAUGGAUCCGCGCUGCAUUAGCUAGUUGGUAAGGUAACGGCUU